UUUAUGAAACAUGUUUGCACUUUUAUUCAAAUCAAAUUAAAUCAAGCUUUAUUGUCAUUUAGCUGUAAAUACAGCAGAAGUGCACACAAGAUGAGCAAAUGUUUCUUCAGGAUCCAGUUUGAAACAAUUAAACUUUAUAGUAGAGAAAAAAAACUUCACUUCAUUUUAGUUCAUGUUUUUCUACUUCAUUUAUCUUUAACAUGCUAAUUUUUCCCAGACAGAGCUAUACAAUGCGGUACUACACUAUAAACAUUUACAAAAUGAACAUUUAGUGAAAGCUUUGUGUUGGUGCACAAUGUUGUAUUAUAUUACACCACUAACACAUCAUUCUGGGACAUUAAUGUUCAUGCUUUUAAUCUUGUUACUGCUUUAGAACUGCUAACUGCCUGAUUUACUCUAAAGAAGCUUGUGUCUACAUUUAUUCACUUAAUUUAAAGUCAUUUUUUCUAUUCCAUUUAUCCAGUGAAUCCUUUUUAAUAAGUCCUUAAAAUGUGUUGUACUGUUUACCAUUGAUUUCUUUCUUUUAUUUCAACUUUUUAAAAAAAAAUAGAUUUAUAAACCUAUUGUAUUUUGACUGAUGCACAACAACACAACAAGCCCUCAAAACAAAUUUUUCACUUCCAGCACUCAUUGCAAAACUCUUGAACCUGUUGUGCUUGCUGAUCCAUGAUCCACUGAACAAAUGCUGAGUAGGUGUGUGUGGCUGCAUGUAUGAGUGUGUGAGCUUAGAUAAGCCACAUGCAAUCACUCGUCCCACCACCAAACUUGCAACAUGUCCUAGUUGGACCUCCCAGCAGCCGCUGACAUUAUUUACGUUCUGUGACAAAGUGUUUAGUUGUGUCUGUUAAACCAUCACAAACACUAAGCACACAACACUUCAUGACCAGCACACAUGCGAUGGCCAGGAACUGAACCCAGGUCAACUGCUUGGAAGGCAGCUAUGCUCACCACUAUACCACCAUUACCAUGAAAUGGACUGUUUUUGUGUGCUCUCAGGAGUUCAAACGGAUAAGAGAAGUAGGUGCAGAGAAAAGGGAGGAAAUGAGCAUCAGCCAGAAGCCCUGAUCUCUGUCACGACACACAACAUCUUAGUAUUUUCUACAGCAAAACAACCUGAUGAAAAUGAAACUAAAUCUUGAAUCAUUCUCGAAACAACUUCCACAUAAUGGGAAAGUGAUAUUGAUGAGCCUAUUGAUUCCACAUUCCCAUGGUCUGCAGUCUUUUUUUAUAACUUUCUUUUCAGACUUUGGCUAGAGUCAUUUUCUUGUUUAUAGCCUGUAUUAUAUUUUGAACUGCUGGUAUUGAUUUCAGAUUGUCCUUUGGUGCACUGGAAUGAUACAGGGCAAACUAACUUUAUUUUGUUCUGUUGUUGUGUUAUAACUUAGUAUUGUGUUUGAUGAUCUCUGUCAGAUGAGAAGAUGAGGUGGAGGACAGUGGAGGAAGUUCCAUGGUGUAAUGGUCAUCACUCUGGGCUCUGGAUCCUGGUGUCCCUGGACUUAAUGGAGAUGAUAGGGGAUGAAAAGUUGUGUGCAUUUUUCUGACCACCAAGCCUGUCCUCCAGUACCCACCAACUUUAACCUCCACCAACAGUGCAUGUAUGAGGCCCCAGCUUCAGACUCUGACAUCUCCAUCAGUGUACUUCUUCAAGAAUUUAAACCCACCAGGACUAUCCACAUUACAUUUAACUCUGUAAAUAAACAUUUUUCAGCCUGUUCAAUGUUAUAAAUGUUCUGUUUGGCCGUUAAAGGAGGUUUUCCUCACAUUUUGGUGUAUUUUAACCCUUCCAUGGUCUAAAUUCUUUGAACAGAUCUUGUGCUGUAAUCAAUGUCUAACUGAGUUUUUAUUUUCAUUGCAGUGGUUGAUUUUUCCAGAGCAAGAUCAAUGAUUUUUUAAUACGUCUUUCUCCAGUUUUAUUUGCUCUACCUGUGGGUUUCAACUAUUAUAACUUUUUUCAUUUAAUAAAUGACUAAUAACACA